GGAACUCACUAGAUUCGGGUUCUAUCGGAACUUCGAAGUUAAGCCAGUAGCAAGCGAGAGCAAUCCCAUGAUGGGUGACUCACUAGGAAGUUCUCGUGUGAGUUCCCAAAAACAAAACCGUGAGGGCGUAGUCGGGGCCUAAAGCGGACAAUAUCGUGCUACGGUGGUGGAGCGGGCCCGGAAUGUGGUGGACCCUGGGCCGGGAUGUGACAUCCAAUGUCAUCAACAGUCACUUUGGCCGAGUGGUUAAGGCGUGUGCUUGUUAAGUGCAUGGGGAUCCCCCGCAAGAGUUCGAACUUCUUACACGACA
rnacentral:sRNA from 1 species